GCGGCAGCAACCUGCGCCAAGCCCUCACCUCUGCUGUCCGACUGAGCUCGAAACCCUCCUCACUGCUCUUCCGAGCUGCCCCCUCAUUCCUCUCCAAUGGCUUUCGCUCAGCUAAUCUCUUCUCCUCCUUCCUCCCUCUCCCACAAUAAGCCCUCCAUUAACGCCACCGCCGCCACAGGGUCAUUCUCCUCUUUCUUCUGCCCGAAAUUCCUUCCCUCCGCCGCCGCCGCAGGGACGGUCCACCGGGGACGGCGGAGGCGGCGGCCCAAUUCCCUCCGGUGCUCAGCCUCCUCUUUCUCGGAGAAGCACCACACCGGGUCUCCGUCCUCCGACGACGUCGUCGAGCUCCCGCUCUUCCCGCUGCCCCUGGUGCUCUUCCCCGGCGCCAUCCUACCGCUGCAAAUCUUCGAGUUCCGGUACCGGAUGAUGAUGCACACGCUCCUCCAGACCGACCUCCGCUUCGGCGUCAUCUACACGGACUCAGUCUCCGGGACGGCUGAUGUUGGCUGCGUCGGGGAGAUCGUCAAGCACGAGCGGCUCGUCGACGACCGGUUCUUCCUCAUCUGCAAGGGCCAGGAGCGGUUCCGCGUCACCAGUAUCGUACGCACCAAACCCUACCUUGUCGCGCAGGUCACCUGGCUGGAAGACCGGCCAUCCGGGGACGACGGUGGCGACGACCUGGAGUCUCUCGCCGGCGAGGUUGAGACUUACAUGAAGGACGUGAUCCGACUAUCGAACCGGCUGAGCGGAAAGCCGGAGAAGGAGGUGCAGGAUCUGAGGAGGAACCUCUUCCCGACGCCAUUCUCCUUCUUCGUGGGGAGCACAUUCGAGGGCGCGCCAAGAGAACAGCAGGCCCUGCUCGAAUUGGAAGACACCGCUACCCGAUUGAAGCGGGAGAAGGAGACACUGAGGAACACUCUCAACUACUUGACUGCGGCGACCGCUGUGAAGGAUGUUUUCCCAUCUUCGUGACUGAUCGAAUUCAAAUGGGCAAAAUGCCGAACCAUCCGAAGAAACACUUAGAUCUGCAGCCUUAUCUCAAAUACUCUUCCUUCCUUUCUGUGGUUCAUGUUGACACGGCAUAACAUUCGUGAGGUUAUAUGUGGAUUCUCUGCUCUUUGAAUUGCGCAAGCAAGCGAAGAGCGCACGCCCAUGGCACAGCUCUGGUUAAAGUUUUAAUGGCGGUAUCGGGUAAAGAAGACGAGACGAGUUUGAAGAUGUCUUAACAAGUUGGCAAAGUUCAUAUUCUCUUUUGCUCGUGGGCGUGUACCACUGCCCUUUACACCCUGGUCGCAGAACAGCACCUUUGCUUUGUGCUUCUGGUUUCUUUUUCUUGAACUUUUUGUACCGUCGGUUUUGCGGGAGGAAGUUUGUGAAGGAAUAUAACGAAUCGGGUUUGUCGUGGUUGA